GGCGUAAAUUUGAAGUAGAGUACAUUAGUAUGGCCAGGUGAUCGUACUAUUCGACUCUACUUCAAAUUUGAGCCC
rfam:Haemonchus placei strain MHpl1 genome assembly, scaffold: HPLM_scaffold0006812